rnacentral:rRNA from 1 species
AGUGAGGAAUAUUGGUCAAUGGACGCAAGUCUGAACCAGCCAUGCCGCGUGCAGGAUGACAGCCCUAUGGGUUGUAAACUGCUUUUCUGCAAGAAGAAAUGCUUUUACUAGUAAGAGUUUGACGGUACUGCAGGAAUAAGCAUCGGCUAACUCCGUGCCAGCAGCCGCGGUAAUACGGAGGAUGCAGGCGUUAUCCGGAUUUAUUAGGUUUAAAGGGUGCGUAGGCGGUGGUAUAAGUCAGUGGUGAAAUCCUACAGCUUAACUGUAGAACUGCCAUUGAUACUGUAUCACUUGAGUGCAGUCGAGGUAGGCGGAAUGUGUAAUGUAGCGGUGAAAUGCAUAGAUAUUACACAGAACACCGAUUGCGUAGGCAGCUUACUAGACUGUAACUGACGCUGAUGCACGAAAGCGUGGGUAGCGAACAGGAUUAGAUACCCUGGUAGUCCACGCAGUAAACGAUGAUUACUCGUUGUGUGCGAUACAUAGUACGUGACUGAGCGAAAGCAUUAAGUAAUCCACCUGGGGAGUACGUUCGCAAGAAUG